CACACACACACACACAAACACUGUGGUCUUCCCAAGAGAAGUGCCUUUACAAACUCUUCCACACGUCGUAUGGCUUACCGUGCUUACAUUCUGAUAUUUUUGCCAAAUUGUUAUUAUAUGGUUGCAUAAGGAUAUAAACGUUUCCAUCCUUAUCCUGCUGACUUAAACGCACGCGCGCACAGACAACACGCGCAUCAGCACUCAGCUUGUUGGUGCGUUCCGACCAUCGAGAACACGGGUUGACGUGUUUUCACGUCCGCACUUCCUCAACACCCGGGAUGACGUUCAGGGCUUCUCUGUACUUCGGGAAGUCUCCAGUUCGCCGACCCACCUUCAUCAUGGAGACAGUGGGAACUGUCGGUCUCGGAUCCACAAGUUAAUCUGUCGUUCAGGAGGUCCUGCAUCAUAGGUGGUGAAUUCUGACCAUCUCGUUUCUGGGAGAAACUGGACAUCAAGUUAUUUCGACGGCUUGUUCGACGAAGUUUUCCAAAAGAUGCUGGCUGGGUUGCAGAGGAAGGUCGGACAGGGUCACUAGGCCACAGUCGCCCUUCAGCCAACCAUGGAACGAGAGGGAUCCUUUAGGAGGAGCCUACAGAGCCGUCUGAGGCAGGGCAGCAGCUCCUCCAGCCUGACCGACCUGUCCCAGGGGGGAGGGGGAG
ensembl:lncRNA